rnacentral:rRNA from 1 species
GUACAUGCCCGAGAUAAGUUUAUGUAAAGCCAGAUAGAACACCAACCUGGCUUACGCGGUCUGACACUCAAAUCACGUAGGGUAUUAAAGGUCGAACAGACCUACUUUCAAAGCGUCUACGCCUUGAAGCUAUUAUCCCUGAUUCAACAUCGAGGUGCCAAUCCCUUUAGCCAAUACGAACUCUACUAAAGGAUUAGCCUGUUAUCCCCGGCGUAACUUCUCCUAUCGAAUCGAAUAUAAU